rnacentral:tRNA from 4 species
GCCGAAGUGGCGGAAUUGGUAGACGCGCACGUUUGAGGGGCGUGUGGGGCAACCCGUGCCGGUUCGAGUCCGGCCUUCGGCACCA